GACGAACGCUGGCGGCGUGCCUAACACAUGCAAGUCGAACGGGGGUAGCAAUACCUCAGUGGCGAACGGGUGCGUAACACGUGAAGAAUUUGUCUAACGGCGGGGGGAGUAGCCGGCCCAACGGCCGGGUAAUACCGCGUACGACCUCUGGAGGGCAUCCUCUGGUGGUGAAAGCCGCAAGGCGCCGAUAGAGAACUUCGCGGCCUAUCAGCUAGUUGGCGGGGUAAUGGCCCACCAAGGCGACGACGGGAGCUGGUCCGAGAGGAUGACCAGCCACAUUGGGACUGAGACACGGCCCAGACUCCUACGGGAGGCAGCAGUGGGGAAUAUUGCGCAAUGGGCGAAAGCCUGACGCAGCGACGCCGCGUGUGGGAUGACGGCCUCGGUU
rnacentral:rRNA from 1 species